GUAAACGGUAAUCGGAUUACUGGGCGUAAGCGCACGCAGGCGGUCUGUCAAGUCGGAUGUGAAAUCCCCGGGCUCAACCUGGGAACUGCAUUCGAAACUGGCAGGCUAGAGUCUUGUAGAGGGGGGUAGAAUUCCAGGUGUAGCGGUGAAAUGCGUAGAGAUCUGGAGGAAUACCGGUGGCGAAGGCGGCCCCCUGGACAAAGACUGACGCUCAGGUGCGAAAGCGUGGGGAGCAAACAGGAUUAGAUACCCUGGUAGUCCACGCCGUAAACGAUGUCGAUUUGGAGGUUGUGCCCUUGAGGCGUGGCUUCCGGAGCUAACGCGUUAAAUCGACCGCCUGGGGAGUACGGCCGCAAGGUUAAAACUCAAAUGAAUUGACGGGGGCCCGCACAAGCGGUGGAGCAUGUGGUUUAAUUCGAUGCAACGCGAAGAACCUUACCUGGUCUUGACAUCCACAGAACUUUCCAGAGAUGGAUUGGUGCCUUCGGGAACUGUGAGACAGGUGCUGCAUGGCUGUCGUCAGCUCGUGUUGUGAAAUGUUGGGUUAAGUCCCGCAACGAGCGCAACCCUUAUCCUUUGUUGCCAGCGGUUAGGCCGGGGAACUCAAA
rnacentral:rRNA from 1 species